AUUGAACGCUGGCGGCAGGCCUAACACAUGCAAGUCGAGCGGAUGAAGGGAGCUUGCUCCUGGAUUCAGCGGCGGACGGGUGAGUAAUGCCUAGGAAUCUGCCUGGUAGUGGGGGAUAACGUCCGGAAACGGGCGCUAAUACCGCAUACGUCCUGAGGGAGAAAGUGGGGGAUCUUCGGACCUCACGCUAUCAGAUGAGCCUAGGUCGGAUUAGCUAGUUGGUGGGGUAAAGGCCUACCAAGGCGACGAUCCGUAACUGGUCUGAGAGGAUGAUCAGGCAAACUGGAACUGAGACACGGUCCAGACUCCUACGGGAGGCAGCAGUGGGGAAUAUUGGACAAUGGGCGAAAGCCUGAUCCAGCCAUGCCGGGUGUGUGAAGAAGGUCUUCGGAUUGUAAAGCACUUUAAGUUGGGAGGAAGGGAAGUAAGUUAAUACCUUGCUGUUUUGACGGUACCCAAAGAAUAAGCACCGGCUAACUUCGUG
rnacentral:rRNA from 1 species